UGCAAGUCGAGCGAACGGACGAGAAGCUUGCUUCUCUGAUGUUAGCGGCGGACGGGUGAGUAACACGUGGAUAACCUACCUAUAAGACUGGGAUAACUUCGGGAAACCGGAGCUAAUACCGGAUAAUAUUUUGAACCGCAUGGUUCAAAAGUGAAAGACGGUCUUGCUGUCACUUAUAGAUGGAUCCGCGCUGCAUUAGCUAGUUGGUAAGGUAACGGCUUACCAAGGCAACGAUGCAUAGCCGACCUGAGAGGGUGAUCGGCCACACUGGAACUGAGACACGGUCCAGACUCCUACGGGAGGCAGCAGUAGGGAAUCUUCCGCAAUGGGCGAAAGCCUGACGGAGCAACGCCGCGUGAGUGAUGAAGGUCUUCGGAUCGUAAAACUCUGUUAUUAGGGAAGAACAUAUGUGUAAGUAACUGUGCACAUCUUGACGGUACCUAAUCAGAAAG
rnacentral:rRNA from 1 species